UUUCAAAAAAUUACGAGAUGGAAACAUGGAAUAAUCCACUUCAACAAACAUGCCUAGACAUUAAAUUUUCUAGGCAUGUUCUUUUCUGGCCACAAGCGCGAGGAACCGUCCGCCGCCCUCUCCGACCUCCUCCACCAGUUCGAGCGGCCGCCAUCCGACCGGUGGCGAUUUCCUCCACCAGCCCGCCCAUCCGCGCCGGCGCCCCUCCUCGCCCAGAACGUCCAAGCCUCACCAUUGGCGUGCCGCAGCAGCUCCUCGCGGCGCAGCGCAGCGGCACGGAGAGGAUAGGGCUGGACCAUCGUGCGAAGAGGAGAGGGCGGCCGUCAUCCUUUUGAUGCCCCCAUCCUGGCGCCCUAUCCAUCCCGGCGGCGGAUCAUUGACGCCCCCAUCCUUCCCCACGAGUCUUGACCUCAGAUGGGAUCAGGGAGGCUCUGAAAAUAGCAGAGAUGGGUCAUCGCCAAUCAGAUAGUUGCUGGGGACUAAGAAUGCGGCAGAGCGUUCAAGAAUCGAGAAGAGAGGAAAUGGUGUUGGAUGCUAAUACUGUGGUGGAGAUAGUUGUAUCUCUUUAAAUCACCAGCGAUUUUAAAAAUAACAGCUUGGAUUUAAGAUGUUCUUUGGUGUGACUGACUGCAACUAUUUAGAGGCAACCUCUAUAGUUGUGACAUUGCCUCCUCUCCUCGUGCCUCAGCUGCGCUUGCACAAUUCAGAGGCAACCUGAUUCCACCGCUGAAUCUUCCACCAAUCCCCACUGGGUAGGAGAUUUGCCUCUGUUUUUACAGCCUAUGCUUACUGACAUUCUUCUGUCCUUCACACCUCUCUGAAGCAUAAUGAACUUCGAGACACCAUGGUGACAGUGACCAUGGUUCAAUUAAACCUUUGGAGUGCAGCUUCUAGGCUUUUGUUUGCUGAUUGAGUAGACCAAAUGUCAAGUUUUAGAGAAUUGUGACUUUCCAUCUACAGAUGCAAACAUGUGAGGCUGUCAGUGUCGUCUUGGAAAUUUUUAAAAUUUGAACUCUGAAUAUUGAAUGAUGAAUCUGGGUGCACGUGCUUUUCCCGGAGACCUCGUGUUUAUAGUUCAAUGUGUGUGUUGAUCAUGAUUGAUUUUUUUGAAUGCUUAGUGCUUGUUCAACUGUACAGAUAGUGAAUGUCUCCAUGAAACAUCAUCUGAACUGUAUCCAAAGUUGGUUAUGACGAUUUCUGAAAUUUCCCUCUGAUUUUGAUUAUCACUUGUGCUGUGUCAUGGCCGCAAAUAUAGUAAUAUGAUAGCUUCGUAUUCAGACUAGAGAUGUUGUAAAUGUUUCUGAAACAAAGUUAGAUCAUGAAAGUGCCUUGGUGGCUUUGCCUGCUGCUUAAUUAAAUUGGCAUAGUAGCAGGACAGGGUUUCAGACUUUUUUAGCAUUGGGCAGCAACUUCAGCCAUGUCUCUUGAAAUCAGUAGCAUAACAAGAGAGAUGUUAAAAAUUAUAAUCCUUUUCAGAAAUUAACCUGUUGUUCCAUAUGAGUAUUGUUAUUUUUUUAGUUUGAACAGUUCUAUUUUAUUCUUUCAGCUUCCAUAGAUCAGUCACCCUCCAUCAAGGAACGGGCUUGGAUUGAGUCCAAUCUUUUGCUGAGCUACCGCCCUUCCAUUCAAAAAAUGAGGUAUCCCAUGAUCUUGGUUCUACUCAUCAGAGCUCCAUUCCCCUGCUGAUCGAUGCUCAACCAGAUGGCCGGUGCAUGUCAUGUAAAGCUGAGCAACUGCACACCAUGCUCUACAUUUACAAGUUCGACCACGGGCACAGUGCUAGCAGAAUUAACGAUGGGCUUGGAUCAACAGUCCUGACGACAUAGAGAGACAGGACUCCUCGCCCUUAUGAGCAUGAGUACCUGACUGAAGCAACCUGCUUCCUCUCUGUUGUGUCUAUGUUAACCUCCCUGCUUUUUCAUGUUCUCAUGACAACUAUGCAUCACAAGAAUGAAAAAUUACAACAAUCUUUUGAUUUCUUGGGUAUUAGACAAGUAUUGGUUGCAGCCGGGGUGUGUAUGGCUGAUUGCCCAAUGUCUGUCUAGGUCGCAGUUUGGCACCAAUGCUUUGCUCCAGGCCCAGACAACAACAUGAGCCCAGCCCCUUGUCAGUUGUUAGUUUGACUCAUCGAGAAUCAUGAGAUUGCACAUGCCCAAGUUGUAAAGGUUAGAAAGGGAUUGGUCAAGGAUGAUAAGGGUUAGAAGUUCGCAUUGCGGUGGUUCUGGUGCACCACCAAUCAUCCCUGGAUUAUUGCUUUCAUCUGAAACUAAAUUCACUUAAGAUUGUGGGACCUGCUAUCUCUGGUUGAGCUGCUUCCAGAAACUGAAGAUUCAUUCACAUGGAAAGUGGACAGCUGGUAGGCAAUGCACUGCAAAGUCAACUUAUCUUGCGCGGCACCAAGGUUCAACCAGAUUGCAUGGGACGGACCUCAUUUGCAGAACAUAUGGGCUCCCCUUUAGGGUUAAAAUGUUUCUUUGGCUCGCUUUCAGAAGGCAUCAUUGGACUGCGGACUGGUGGAUACGGCAUGGCUUACAAGCUUCAGAGAUGAAUGGACUUUGUGAUAAGUAAGCUGAAUCUUCUGACCACAUUAUACUCAGGUAUUCUUUAUCUCUACAGAUUUGGUGGGCGAUUUUGCUUCUUCCAUUUAGCUGUCAUAUUAGAUUGUAAGGGUGAUGAUCUUGUAUAAUUUGUAUGCGAUAAACUUUGGUUUUUUUAGAUGUUUUUGCAUGCAUAUUUGGUAUGCUAUAAAGUGUAUCUUUUUUUUU